rnacentral:rRNA from 1 species
UAGUAACGGCGAGUGAAGCGGGAAGAGCUCAAGCUUAAAAUCUCCGUGCAGGUUCUGCUCGGCGAAUUGUAGUCUAUGGAUGCGUUAUCAGUGUGGCCGGUCGGGGUAAGUUCCUUGGAAGAGGACAGCAUCGAGGGUGAUACUCCCGUUUGUACCUGACUGUGUUGCGCGUACGAUGCGUGUUCUUUGAGUCGCGUUGUUUGGGAAUGCAGCGCAAAGUAGGUGGUAAAUUCCAUCUAAAGCUAAAUAUUGGUGCGAGACCGAUAGCGAACAAGUACCGUGAGGGAAAGAUGAAAAGAACUUUGAAAAGAGAGUUAAAGAGUACCUGAAACUGCUGAAAGGGAACCGGGUCGUUGCCAGUGUCUAUAAUCCUUGGCAUAUUUCAUUGGUGCGAGUGUCUGUUCCGCGUGCGUGUAUCAGUUUGUUCUGUGCUGCGCGUGGUUGUGGGUGCUUGUGCCGGUGCCCUGUGCUUUGGUGGGACGUCAGAGUCAGUUCGUAUGCUGCGGGAAAUGGUCGUGCAGGAGGUAGGUCGGGGGCUUGCUCUCGGCUGUUAUAUCUGUGCGUGCCAGUAGUCGUGGCUGGGACUGAGGUGCCUACAACGUGCUUUUGAGUCUUUGGGUCGCUCUGUGCGCGCGCGUGCGGGAUAGCUUGCUAUGCCGUGUGCGUUUUGUGUGUGGAUGGCGUGCUCUCUGCAACUUGUGCCGUUC